rnacentral:tRNA from 1 species
GCGCUGUUAGCUCAACUGGAUAGAGCGUUGGUCUACGGAACCAAAGGUUAGGUGUUCAAAUCCCCUACGGCGCACCA